AUUGAACGCUGGCGGCAGGCCUAACACAUGCAAGUCGAACGGUAGCACAGAGAGCUUGCUCUCGGGUGACGAGUGGCGGACGGGUGAGUAAUGUCUGGGAAACUGCCCGAUGGAGGGGGAUAACUACUGGAAACGGUAGCUAAUACCGCAUAACGUCGCAAGACCAAAGUGGGGGACCUUCGGGCCUCACACCAUCGGAUGUGCCCAGAUGGGAUUAGCUAGUAGGUGGGGUAAUGGCUCACCUAGGCGACGAUCCCUAGCUGGUCUGAGAGGAUGACCAGCCACACGGGAACUGAGACACGGUCCAGACUCCUACGGGAGGCAGCAGUGGGGAAUAUUGCACAAUGGGCGCAAGCCUGAUGCAGCCAUGCCGCGUGUAUGAAGAAGGCCUUCGGGUUGCAAAGUACUUUCAGCGGGGAGGAAGGCGGUGAAGUUAAUAACUUCACCGAUUGACGUUACCCGCAGAAGAAGCACCGGCUAACUCCGUGCCAGCAGCCGCCGUAA
rnacentral:rRNA from 1 species